rnacentral:rRNA from 1 species
GACGAACGCUGGCGGCGUGCCUAAUACAUGCAAGUUGAGCGCUGAAGGUUGGUACUUGUACCAACUGGAUGAGCAGCGAACGGGUGAGUAACGCGUGGGGAAUCUGCCUUUGAGCGGGGGACAACAUUUGGAAACGAAUGCUAAUACCGCAUAAAAACUUUAAACACAAGUUUUAAGUUUGAAAGAUGCAAUUGCAUCACUCAAAGAUGAUCCCGCGUUGUAUUAGCUAGUUGGUGAGGUAAAGGCUCACCAAGGCGAUGAUACAUAGCCGACCUGAGAGGGUGAUCGGCCACAUUGGGACUGAGACACGGCCCAAACUCCUACGGGAGGCAGCAGUAGGGAAUCUUCGGCAAUGGACGAAAGUCUGACCGAGCAACGCCGCGUGAGUGAAGAAGGGUGUCGGAUCGUAAAACUCUGUUGGUAGAGAAGAACGUUGGUGAGAGUGGAAAGCUCAUCAAGUGACGGUAACUACCCAGAGAGGGACGGCUAACUACGUG